AUUGAACGCUGGCGGCAGGCCUAACACAUGCAAGUCGAGCGGAGAGGCGGUAGCGGGAGGAAUACCUAUGAAUCUGCCUGUUAGUGGGGGAUCGCGAUCGGAAACGGGCGCUAAUACUACAUACUAUCAGAUGAGCCUCUGGCGAAUUAGAUAGUUGGUGGGGGAAAGGCCUACCAAGUCCACGAUCCGUAACUGGUCUGGGAGGAUGAUCAGUCACACGGGAACGGAGACACGGUCCAGACUCCUACGGGAGGCAGCAGUGGGGAAUAUUGAACAAUGGGCGAAAGCCUGAUCCAGCCAUGCCGCGUGUGUGAAGAAGGUCUUCGGAUUGGAAAGCACUUUAAGUUGGGAGGCGUUACCAACAGAAUAAGCAACGGCUAACUCCGUGCCAGCAGCCGCGGUAAUAC
rnacentral:rRNA from 1 species